AUGACGUUAGGAAAGCGAGCGGCGGAUGGGUGAGUAACACGUGGGGAACCUGCCCCAGUAGUCUGGGAUACCACGUUGGAAACAGGUGCUAAUACCGGAUAAGAAAGCAGAUCGCAUGAUCAGCUUUUAAAAGGCGGCGUAAGCUGUCGCUAUGGGAUGGCCCCGCGGUGCAUUAGCUAGUUGGUAAGGUAAAGGCUUACCAAGGCGAUGAUGCAUAGCCGAGUUGAGAGACUGAUCGGCCACAUUGGGACUGAGACACGGCCCAAACUCCUACGGGAGGCAGCAGUAGGGAAUCUUCCACAAUGGACGCAAGUCUGAUGGAGCAACGCCGCGUGAGUGAAGAAGGUUUUCGGAUCGUAAAGCUCUGUUGUUGGUGAAGAAGGAUAGAGGUAGUAACUGGCCUUUAUUUGACGGUAAUCAACCAGAAAGUCACGGCUAACUACGUGCCAGCAGCCGCGGUAAUACGUAGGUGGCAAGCGUUGUCCGGAUUUAUUGGGCGUAAAGCGAGCGCAGGCGGAAGAAUAAGUCUGAUGUGAAAGCCCUCGGCUUAACCGAGGAACUGCAUUCGGAAACUGUUUUUUCUUGAGUGCA
rnacentral:rRNA from 1 species